rnacentral:lncRNA from 1 species
AAGAAAGCAGCUAAUUUUUUGUUCUCCUUUGAUAACAUAGAUUAAGUACUGUAUUAUUAGAAUGCUUCUGGAUUUGCUUGAAUUUUAAACUGAUUAUGUUUAUUUCCUGUAGGCAUGAAGGAGGGAUACUUUCUUUCUUUCAUUCUCGAAUGGUUCAAAUGAAGCUCAAAGGUUCUGUUUCAGCAAUUUUAUUCCAACAACCCGCCUAUGCACACAAUAUUAACUACACAGCAGUUUCAACAGCUCCAAAUCCAUAAUCAGAAGCAACAUCAUCAAUUCCAGCAGCAUCAACUGCAUCAGUUCCAGCAGCAACCACUUAAGCAGCAGCAGCAGCAGGAACAACAUCUAUCUCAUAGUGGUGACUUGAAAAUGAAAGGUUCCAUGUCAUCUACCAGCCUGAGGGAAAGUUCUCCCGAAAUCAACCUGCAUCAGUCGAAGGAUUAAAUAGAGACAUUUAAGGCUUAGUAGUCCAAUUAAUAUUGGUUACACUCUGCUUUUGGAUAGAUCAGCUUUAUGUGAUUUAGUUUAGAUACAUCCCAUGUUACAUCGUUUCCUAGGCAGUCAAAAUUCAAAGUAAUGAUCUGUUUGUUCGCGGGUAUAUACAUCCCAUGUUACUCUGCUUUGAUAAAUUAUUGAAGUUACAAUUCUUUUAA